rnacentral:rRNA from 1 species
AAGCGCUGGAAACGGCGUCUAAUACUGGAUAUGUGACGUGACCGCAUGGUCUGCGUCUGGAAAGAAUUUCGGUUGGGGAUGGGCUCGCGGCCUAUCAGCUUGUUGGUGAGGUAAUGGCUCACCAAGGCGUCGACGGGUAGCCGGCCUGAGAGGGUGACCGGCCACACUGGGACUGAGACACGGCCCAGACUCCUACGGGAGGCAGCAGUGGGGAAUAUUGCACAAUGGGCGCAAGCCUGAUGCAGCAACGCCGCGUGAGGGACGACGGCCUUCGGGUUGUAAACCUCUUUUAGCAGGGAAGAAGCGAAAGUGACGGUACCUGCAGAAAAAGCGCCGGCUAACUACGUGCCAGCAGCCGCGGUAAUACGUAGGGCGCAAGCGUUAUCCGGAAUUAUUGGGCGUAAAGAGCUCGUAGGCGGUUUGUCGCGUCUGCUGUGAAAUCCGGAGGCUCAACCUCCGGCCUGCAGUGGGUACGGGCAGACUAGAGUGCGGUAGGGGAGAUUGGAAUUCCUGGUGUAGCGGUGGAAUGCGCAGAUAUCAGGAGGAACACCGAUGGCGAAGGCAGAUCUCUGGGCCGUAACUGACGCUGAGGAGCGAAAGGGUGGGGAGCAAACAGGCUUAGAUACCCUGGUAGUCCACCCCGUAAACGUUGGGAACUAGUUGUGGGGUCCAUUCCACGGAUUCCGUGACGCAGCUAACGCAUUAAGUUCCCCGCCUGGGGAGUACGGCCGCAAGGCUAAAACUCAAAGGAAUUGACGGGGACCCGCACAAGCGGCGGAGCAUGCGGAUUAAUUCGAUGCAACGCGAAGAACCUUACCAAGGCUUGACAUAUACGAGAACGGGCCAGAAAUGGUCAACUCUUUGGACACUCGUAAACAGGUGGUGCAUGGUUGUCGUCAGCUCGUGUCGUGAGAUGUUGGGUUAAGUCCCGCAACGAGCGCAACCCUCGUUCUAUGUUGCCAGCACGUAAUGGUGGGAACUCAUGGGAUACUGCCGGGGUCAACUCGGAGGAAGGUGGGGAUGACGUCAAAUCAUCAUGCCCCUUAUGUCUUGGGCUUCACGCAUGCUACAAUGGCCGGUACAAAGGGCUGCAAUACCGCGAGGUGGAGCGAAUCCCAAAAAGCCGGUCCCAGUUCGGAUUGAGGUCUGCAACUCGACCUCAUGAAGUCGGAGUCGCUAGUAAUCGCAGAUCAGCAACGCUGCGGUGAAUACGUUCCCGGGUCUUGUACACACCGCCCGUCAAGUCAUGAAAGUCGGUAACACCUGAAGCCGG